AUGGGGUGGAGCCACGGAAGUUCGCGCCAUUUGCAGAGGGGAGGAGCCCAGCCUCUUGCGUUCCUGUGUGAUGGGGCCGGAGCCAGUAAACAGGCUUCCUUCUCGCUCUGCUGUAUAAGAAGAAGAAGUAGGAGAAACAAAAUAAGGAGGAGAAGAAGUAAAAUAAUUUGAGAAGGAAUAUGAAGGGGCUGAAAUCCUGGGCUUUCUGGGCAGAAGGAUCUACGAGCGGGAUCGUGGGUGAAACAUGAAGAUGAUGGUGGACAGGUGAGCUACGCAGUUCGUGGAAGAACCAGGUCCCAUGUGGACAAGCCAGUAAGAGUUUUCAACUUGGGUGCCAGCAGUAACCGGUUAUACAAAGGAAACUCAACAUUCCUCUUCCCCAAAGUAAACCUAUUGCAAAAACCCCUUCCAUCUAAUAAUAGCAACUCAAGGUUAGUAAAUGUGAUUUAUUUCUCUGUCUUCAACACCUAUCAUAGUGGUUAACCGGUUAUAGGAGCUUCACAGACGUAUCUCAAGGAAUGAAUAAAUAAAACAACAGAUAGUUAUCAUUAUCCUGCUAACUUGGCAGGCACUCUUUCUGGAUUUUUAUAUUAAGAAAGAAUUGAAAUGAUCUCUCUCUCUUUUCCUCUCUCUCUCUCCCCCUUUCCUCCCACCCCUAAAGCACAUAUACUUAACCCUUCCUGGGUCUCUGGGCAAACAAGUGAGUUUCUAUGGAUUAAUAACAGAAAAUAAUUCUAAACUUCAUCCUGCCAUGAAUUAACUUCAGAAAUGUGGCAUGUAACUUAACCUGCCUGUACUUUAUGCAAGUAUAAAAAAGCUGAACUAUAUUUUCAAGGCUUUUUAAGCUCCCAAAUGAUGUCACUGUUAAUAUUUCUUGGCAAAAAUUAGAAGUUUAU
rnacentral:lncRNA from 1 species